rnacentral:rRNA from 1 species
UACGAAGGGGGCUAGCGUUGUUCGGAAUCACUGGGCGUAAAGCGCACGUAGGCGGACCGAUAAGUCGGAGGUGAAAGCCUGGGGCUCAACCCCAGAAUUGCCUUCGAUACUGUUGGUCUAGAAUGUGGGAGAGGUUGGUGGAACUCCGAGUGUAGAGGUGAAAUUCGUAGAUAUUCGGAAGAACACCAGUGGCGAAGGCGGCCAACUGGCCCAUUAUUGACGCUGAGGUGCGAAAGCGUGGGGAGCAAACAGG